rnacentral:tRNA from 1 species
GGCUUUAUAGUCAAUAAUGACAUUAGACUGCAAUUCUAAAGGAGUAUAAUAAAUACUAAGGCUU